rnacentral:misc_RNA from 1 species
GAAAUGCGAUAAGUAAUGUGAAUUGCAGAAUUCCGUGAAUCAUCGAAUCUUUGAACGCACAUUGCGCCCUCUGGCAUUCCGGGGGGCAUGCCUGUCCGAGCGUCAUUACGCACCCUCAAGCCCGGCUUGUGUUAUGGGCCCCGGCGUCUCGUUCGCGAGACGGGCCCGAAAGGCAGCGGCGGCGUCGACCCGAUGAGCCCGAGCGUAUGGGGACUUCUGUCACACGUUCGCGGUGCGGACCGGCGCCUGCUUGACUUUUCUGAUUAUCCAGGUUGACCUCGGAUCAGGUAGGGAUACCCGCUGAACUUAAGC